AUCCAGUUGAUGAGUCCCAAAUAGGACGAAACGCGCUUCCCGGAU
rnacentral:hammerhead_ribozyme from 1 species